CACGCAUGUGACCCAGGAAUCCAUGGCAACCACCUAUCCAGGGAUUGCGUAUGAGCAGCAGCAGCGCAGAAACUGCAGUCAGUCGCAAAAUACAAAUGAUGGGAAAGAGAAGCCCUCCGAUGCUGCUGAGCAUUGUCUUGAGGAGCCAGCUCCCCCUUUUGGAUCAGAGGUGAAAUGAACUGAAAACCAAAAGGAAAUGUCCAAUUGUUUUCUACUGCACCUCUAAGGAUUACCUGGAUGACUGUCAAUUUUCACAGACUGGUAAAGAUAAUCACUCUCUGUGGAUAACAAAAACAUGAAUGGGUUUUGGGUUUCUACUAUAAAGACAGAUUUUUGGAUCCACUAAGGCCCCAUCCUUUCCUUCUCCCUUGGUUUGUGUUCACCGCCAGCUCUCCCAGUAAACUACUGGGUAUAGCCAAAGUACUACUGGGAGCAGUUUGUGUUCUUUGGCAUGAGAGCAGGUCUGCUCCCAGACUGUGCAAAUAGAUUAUCCCACUAACACCUGGCUCCAGACUUAAGAGUUGUAGUCAGACAUUCUCUGUGACUGACAUGCAACAGCAAGAAAAGUGAAACCGCAGCAUCCAACAAUUCUGUCAAUAGCUGAGUGAGUCUUACCUGGAGAAACUGCCUCCCCACUGGAAACAGUAUUGAUUUUGCUCACUUCCUACAAAUGAAAGUAAAUGUGUUGCUAAACUGCAACAGUCUCAGUGAAGACAUAUUGUACAGUAUGCACUUAGAAAACAUUCACUGUAUGAAGCCUUAGCAGCAAGAUUGCUCUCUAUAGGGAUGCUGUAAAGAAACCACAGGUGCAGUCUUCAGUUCUCUCUGACAUGUGAGGGAUUUUUAUGCACAUUUUCCCCAAUUAAAUCUGUGAAAUAGAAAAGUAAAUAGACAGUGGGACACAAUAGAAUGACGCGCAAUGUCCUAAAGCAUGUAUUUUCCUUAAAAGCACCUCCGCAUGAAUCCUAAAUCAUUUAAGUCUGAACUCACACAAAAUCACCAACGAAAAAUUCAUAUUUCCAUACAACUAAAAAAUGGUUUACAAACUUACAGCUCUGCUUUUCCAUCCUUUUGUGCAGGUCAGGAGCAGAUGCAUAGACACCUACAGUUGGGAGUCCAGCAGGUCAGAACAGCCAGCAGUAGCCCCAACUACUGGUAUAAAUUAACUGUAUAUACUUAACACUAUAGAUAAAGCAGGAGACUUUACUAGGGAUGUUUUUGCUAGGUUCAAGCACAGCUGAUGGAAUAAUGGCUUGUAGUAAGAAUUCUGUUUAAAGUGAAUGAGAAUGAAGUGAUAUCUAUGGCUAAAUAUAUGGUUUUCUGUGGGGAGAGGAAAAUUCAAUGGAGGUGUACUGAUUCAAGGUUGAGUGAUUCACAUAAAACAUGUUCUCAAAAUCCAUUUUCAAAAAAAAAAAGACUUAAGAAAAUCUGCCUAAAAGUAGGAAGGGUUCAGAGCACAACAAAAAAGGCAGCACAAACCACUCUGCAGUAUUUUGCUUGUUCUCUUUGGCAUAUUAAUCAAUUCUUCAGUGGUUUUGAAUCUGAUCAAAAAGAUUCUGUGUCGCAUUAGGAGAAGUUGACAAAAGUACUAACUGAAAGUACUCCGUAUCUGACAAUCAGUUGUACACAGAUGUUAGUUAUCAUCCAAAUGUAUCAAAUCUAAUUCACUUACGCUCAAUUAAAAUCCAUUAAUUAAGGAUCACUGUGUAGCUAAUGUUUGUUCCUAAUUUACUCAUCCAAGUCAAAGAUCAAUGUUUUUCACCAAACAGACACUGACAGAUGUCGUUUUCCCAGGAAACAUUUAUUUGAUCAAUAGACAGGUUCGCAUCUUUCCAUAAACAGGUCAGUUAAAUAUUAACAAAUUUACAGUCAUGAGGAAUGUAAUAAAAAAACAAAAACAAACAACGUUCGCCUUAAAAAAGCCCCAACCCAGGAUAACGUCGACCACGGUGGAACUGCAACAA